GACGAACGCUGGCGGCGUGCCUAACACAUGCAAGUCGAACGGAGAUAACUUUACCUGAGAUCCUUCGGGGUCAAGGGUGGGAUAUUUCAGUGGCGGACGGGUGAGUAACACGUGAGCAAUCUAUCCCGGACAGGGGGAUAACACGGAGAAAUCCGUGCUAAUACCGCAUAAGACCACGAGGUCGCAUGAUCUUGAGGUCAAAGGAGGAAUCCGGUCUGGGGUGAGCUCGCGUCCCAUUAGAUAGUUGGUGAGGUAAUGGCUCACCAAGUCAGCGAUGGGUAGCCGGCCUGAGAGGGUGAACGGCCACACUGGGACUGAGACACGGCCCAGACUCCUACGGGAGGCAGCAGUGGGGAAUAUUGGGCAAUGGGGGAAACCCUGACCCAGCAACGCCGCGUGAGGGAAGAAGGUUCUCGGAUUGUAAACCUCUGUCCUCAGAGAAGAAACAAAUGACGGUACCUGAGGAGGAAGCCCCGGCUAACUACGUGCCAGCAGCCGCAGUAAAAC
rnacentral:rRNA from 1 species